rnacentral:rRNA from 1 species
AGCACUUUGAAAAGAGAGUCAAAGAGACCGCGAAACCGUUGGGAGGGAAACGAAUGUAGCCAUGAAGACUCCACUCAGGUUCAUGGCGCCGUGGAGUGAGUGUUGCCGUCGGCGUGAGUUCCUCUGGUGCCCGUCCGUGGCAAGCUUGCCGAGGCGUCUGCAAUCCCGUUUGGAGUCCGCCAACGGCGGUUGUCUGCGGUCCAGCAGGGUUGGAGGGAGGUGCCUCCACCCCGUGAUUCGUCGCGAGAAGGAGAACGUAUAGCCUCCGGCCUGGUGACCGGAGACGGCCGAGGAGAGUUGCGACCCUUCGCACCGUGCAGUGCAGGCUCCCUUGGGGGCCGGGUCGCUUGUGAGCUUGCGUUCUUCGCGGCGAGAUACUGCGUGCAGUGCUCGUUGACGUAAAGGGCGCUCGCCCGCGAGGUCGACCACGAUGUGCACUGUAGUCGUUGGUGUGCGUAUGGCUCCAUCCGACCCGUCUUGAAACACGGACCAAGGAGUGCAAGAGGCGUGCGAGUCUUUGGGUGUUUAAAACCCUUGGGCGAAAUGAGAGUGAAGGGGGUUACCCCCGAGGCGAGAGCCCGUCCCGAGCGGGCGCAUCGUCGACCGAUCCCAGGCUACGCUGUGGUGGGAUUCGAGUGAGAGCGUGCCUGUUGCGACCCGAAAGAUGGUGAACUAUGCCUGAAUGGGGCGAAGCCAGAGGAAACUCUGGUGGAAGCUCGCAGCGGUUCUGACGUGCAAAUCGAUCGUCAAAUUUGGGUAUAGGGGCGAAAGACUAAUCGAACCGUCUAGUAGCUGGUUCCCUCCGAAGUUUCCCCCAGGAUAGCUGGAGCCCGGUGCAGUUUUAUCAGGUAAAGCGAAUGAUUAGAGGUCUUGGGGUUGAAACAACCUCAACCUAUUCUCAAACUUUAAAUGGGUAAGAAGCUCGGCUUGCUUGGCUGAAGUCGGGCGUUUGAAUGCCGGGGCUCCUAGUGGGCCAUUUUUGGUAAGCAGAACUGGCGAUGCGGGAUGAACCGAACGCUGGGUUAAGGUGCCCGAAUCGACGCUCAUCAGAUCCCAUAAAAGGUGUUGGUUGAUUUAGACAGCAGGACGGUGGCCAUGGAAGUCGGAAUCCGCUAAGGAGUGUGUAACAACUCACCUGCCGAAUCAACUAGCCCUGAAAAUGGAUGGCGCUGAAGCGUCGUACCCAUACCCGGCCGUCGGGGCGAGAAUCGUGCCCCGACGUGUAGGAGGGCGCGGCGGUGGCUGUGCAUCCCGAGGCGCGAGCCUGGGCGAAGCCGCCGCUGGUGCAGAUCUUGGUGGUAGUAGCAAAUAUUCAAAUGAGGGGUUUGAAGACCGACGUGGAGCAGGGUUCCAUGUGACCAUCAGUUGGACAUGGGUUAGUCGAUCCUAAGAGAAGGGAGAGCUCCCUGGUGAGGGCGCACUCGUUCACGCGAGGGCGCCGCGACUCGAAAGGGAAUCGGGUUAACAUUCCCGAACCGGGAUGCGGAUGGGCCUUCGGGCCAUCAGCGGCAACGCAAGCGACCUCGGAAACGUCGGCGAGAGCUCCGGCAAGAGUUGUCUUUUCUUGUUAACAGGCCGUGUCCCCUGGAAUCAGGUUGGCUGGAGAUAGGGUCCGGUGCCUGGUAAAGCGCCACACUUGUUGUGGCGUCCGGUGCGCUCUCGACGGCCCUUGAAAAUCCGAGCGAGCGGUUGAUUCUCGCGCCCGGUCGUACCGAUAAC